UACGAACUGUGCAAACGUUAUUCGGAUUCACUGGGCUUAAAGGGUGCGUAGGCGGCCAUGUAAGUAGGGUGUGAAAUCCCCCGGCUUAACCGGGGAACUGCGCCCUAAACUGUGUGGCUUGAGUGAGAUAGGGGUGUGUGGAACUUCCGGUGGAGCGGUGAAAUGUGUUGAUAUCGGAAGGAACGCCGGUGGCGAAAGCGGCACACUGGGUCUCAACUGACGCUGAGGCACGAAAGCCAGGGGAGCGAACGGG
rnacentral:rRNA from 1 species